rnacentral:tRNA from 1 species
UGUGUUAGUAAUUAAUAUAUAAUAAUUGUGUUGCAAACAAAAAUAAUUGAACAAACAAUCUAACCCAU